CUGAGUUUUUACCUUGCUUAUCAUUAGACCAGAAGAUACAUAGUUGAUUACACUAAAUGUGUGCUGCCUACCUUCUAAUCACUCUUGAACCUUUUAAUACACUUCACAUAUGAAUGUGAAGUCUUCAGGUUUUUUAAUGUCUUGUGAAAGUGCCUAGCCAGGAGAAUGAAGGGCCUAAAUGGGGGCUGUCAUCAUGAGAACACAUGCCUGUGUGUGCAUGUUAGCUAAGCAGGAUGUGCCUAGAUGGCUGCCUGCACUCUCUGUGGCUCAGUGCUGAGAAGCAGUACCAUCAGAGGCACUGGGAAGUCCUGGACUUUACUGUGAUGAAGAGGCUUAGGGUCCCGAGGACUUAAAGCUGUGGGAGAGAGAAUUCCUUCCACUCCAGUGCUCAAAGAAGAAAUCACCUUCUAUGGCAGCUUAAUCUGUUCAUUGCAAUAGCUGAAUAUUGCAAAUAAAAUGUGUCAUCAAUGGAUGUGGAGGAUCCCAUUCUGUAGGGUAAAAUGUAUCUUAUUCUACCAGGGAACCCAAUACUGGCAAGAUACUUAGAUAUGUCUAUGAAUACAAACUUUGCCAGGUCAAGAUUGAUUUAUGUCAAUGGAAGAUAACUCUGUGUAACAUAAACAUCUUUAUUCUUCACUGAAGUUUUCUCCAUGAUGAACAGCCCAAGGUCUCUCAGCCCUGCCUUAUAAGGGAGAUGCUCCAGAACCCAAAUCUUCUUUACGGCACUUUGCUGAACUCUCUCUAGAAGUUUCCAGUCUUUUUUGAACUGGGGAGCCCAGAUCUGGACACAGUACCCCAGAUGUGGCCUCACCAGGGCAGACAAGAGGGGGAGGAUCACCUCUCUUGACCUGCUGACUACUCUCUUUUUAAUGAACCCCAGGAUAUCACUGGCCUUCUUGACGACAAGGUCAUACUUGCUGGCUUGUGGCCAACUGGUUGCCCACCAAGACACCAAGGUCCUUCCUCGUAGAGCUCAAUUCAGCAAGUAACCAUGCAAUGGACAGGUUUCUAGGCUUUGAGAAAGCAAACAGGCUUUGAGUCUUGGGAAGUUAUGACAUUGUUCUUAGGUUUGAUUUGCACAGAAGAUUGUGCAAGGACAAUUUCAAUAGAAGAGCUGAAGGGAACUUUAUUCCCAUUAAAGUAAAAUCUUGAUGCAGACUUGCUUCCUUGGAGCUAGACAGUAAUAGUGUGCUAAGAUUGUUUAUGUGAUCCCCCACCAUCACAUUCCAGGGUUCAAAUGAACUGAGAAAAUUACAUGAUGGUAGCUCCAAUAUUACUGAUUUCAUCUCUAUUAGAAACCACAUAGAAGGAUAUGUCCAGUAGCUCAGCUGAGAAACAAGAACAGUCUCAGAGGAAAAGUUUGUUUCAACAUAUCUGAAUUUAUAAGCAGACUCAUUUGUACCUUCCCAUAUUACUGAAGUUUGCAUAAAAUAGGUGGAUUGACUACAAUCUGUGCUCUACUCCUCUUAUUAUUCAGGCUUUGCACUGUGAUAGUUGAAUACUUCCUGUAUGUACAGAGAGUGGCAUGACAAGGAGCUGCUAGUUUUUAAUUUCACCUUCCAUUGUCCUCUCCCUGAUUAUUGGCACUCAGCUUGCACAGGCAGGGUGAUGCUUCCCCAGUCUUGUACCUGGCUUCCUUGCCUAGUGCUUACAGUAGAAAGUGAGUUUGUGAGAGCUUCAGGUUUGUGCCUCUGACCCAAUUAAUAUUUGUUGACUCAGAAAAGAGACUGAAAGAAAUAAAAUCAUCAACAUACAGUGGUUUCACAUCAUCUGGUGGAUGAUCUGUGCCAUGAAAAAUUACAGGGGAAAUUUGAACCUGGGAGUCUCCAACUCAGGUGAGUCUUCUGUUGGCCAUAUUAUUGUCGAUUUGUCAUUGGCUUUUUCAAAAACAAACAAACAAACAAACAAACAAACAAAACCUAAAACACACAAAACAAAACAAAACAGAAAACCCAACCCUGUGAAAAUUCUUGUGAAAAGCUUGUCACAGUGGAGAAUUGUUUUUGUUGUUGUUGUUUGUUCUUUUGUUUUGUUUAUUUGAGUUUUUUGAGUUUUUUGUAAUCUCACUUGUCACAAGACAUGAAAUCACUACCCAGGCCAUUAAUUGGACAGAUUUCCAUUCUAUUUUUUCAAACUCCUAUUCAUUCAGUCUAGCUUUUUGUGGAGACAAUCUGAUAUUAGCAUGGACUGAUGGACUUUUCAGAUGCUUCACUUGGAACACGUAAGGCCAAAAAAGAAUUAAAGCAGCAAUGAUAUUAUUUUCCAUUAAGGAAAGUUCACUGCUACAUGGAGUGAAAUAGUCCAGAGUUCAGAAAGAUGAAAGAGGUCAACAAAAGCACUGCUCUUCUGUGACACAACCAGAUUUAAAGAGCCUUUUAUAUGUAUAUGUAUUAUAUUUAUUCAUCUGUUCAUUCUGUCGUUGAGAUAGCAAAGCUUUCAAGAACAGGCACCCUAUGACCUUCACGGGAGACACAGAGAAACACAGCCUGGGCAAAUACAGACCUAAAGCUGUCUGCUGGCUCAUUAUUAAUACAUUGGGAUUGUCUGGACCUGUGACCUCUUUACUGAAUGCUCCACCCUUCUUUUCUAACUUCUUUUUCUGCCCACGUGUGCAGCAGGAACCUUCCCAGACUUUGCAUAUAUGCAAUCACAGUUGCAGUGUCUUACUUCAGAUUCUGCACCCCAGAGUACCUCACCCACAGGGAUGGGACUCUCUGACAAGACAGUCUGCGCAGGAAAACAGCUUGUGUGUGCCCAGCGUGCAAAUGCUCCCCCCGAGCACAAGGGAUACGAUUUCAUCUGGUAGCCUGUACCAUGUGUAGCUUAGUAGCAAGCCAAAAAUGCAAGAAGACUGUAUCAAUCAUGCAGAUAUGUCAGGACAAAAAAAAAAAAAAAAGACAAAAGGAAAAAAAAGAGAGGGGAAUUGGAGUACAUUGGAUAAUUUUUCAUUCUUUUUCUCCUGUUACUAACAGGCACUAAGCGCAAGUCUAGCAGAUUUAAGUGCUAUAUAAAAAUGAGUAGCAAAUCAAGUGCAGGGAACAAUACAUCUGAAGGAAAAAGACUUCCAGAAGCAGACUUGGGGCUUUUUGUGUGUGAGGCCUGGAAGCAGCUAAUCUCUGCUGAGUAAAGAUAGCCAUUCAGAUCAGAUAAGUCGAAUAGGCUGCCAGAGGAGGAAAACCAGGGAAUCAUUUCAUUGUCAAUACUGGGGAGCCACCAGAUGCUUGGGAUUCCAUAUAUUUGGGGGAUAAAUCUUUCAAAAGCUCCAUUGACACUGGGGUAUGUCAAUAAUUCAACGUAUUAGUUGGAUGCAAAUACUGCACAAUAAGGCAUGGAAAGAAAACUGUAAUUGGGAAUGCUGGGGUGAAGGGGGCUCUAUCUUCUGACUGAGCCCAUUGUUGAACUCCAGGCUGAACCUCCGACCCUUUACUUUGGAGAGACACAAUAGGCUUUGAUAUGAGAUGGUGGGAAACAGUCUUGGAGGCUCAUUUCACAUUCAGCUGCAAUUCAUCAGCUUGGCUGGGACUUCUAGCAGCUUUAAUGACCACUGCAAUUGAUGGUUAAAUCAAUUUGUGACGGUGACAGCAUGGCUGGCCCCUAGACUGUAACAAUCCAGGAUUACAACAGGCAGAAAGGGCCCCCGUUAUUCAGACGUGCGUGGUUUCUGCUCAGCUCUGAGUGGGAACAACAGUGGGACAAAGUCUCACAAGACCGGGCCUGGAGAAUGUACAGAUUCACUCCAGUUGACUACACACCACCGCUU
ensembl:lncRNA